GUUAGACAGGCUGAAAAUUGCUCUGUCCUGGAAUUUGCACACGAGGAUCUCUUACAGAUUACACUAGAGCAGACUGAGAGGGAGUACACAUGAGUAAAUUUAGUUUGCCUGAAAUUAAACCAGCAUUGAUGAGAGCAGGAUUUGGUCCUUAGAUCCUCAAUUGAGGGCACCUGUGUUUGGAAAGGGUUUAACUUACUGCUGUGCUUCAGAGAGCACCUUCCUAAUUUACUGGCUUCAUGCACAGUAUUGAAUGGUGGCAAAUUAACUAGAGGACUUGAUAAAAGGCAGUGUUGGCCCUACAGUGCCUCCUGGGAUGGAAUAUGAGCCAUUUUGUGGCUCUGAGUUGCUGAUUUCUCAUUGCUUGUGCUGGCUGCAGUAUUAUGAGGGCUGGAGUGGAAAACAACCAAGGGAAAUGGCAAAAAUGAACCAGUGAGUGCUAACUUAAGAAAAUCUGGUGUUACCCAGUCAGAAACACAUGGAACUCCCUAGUCUUGCUCCUGUCAUUAGUUUCACCUACUAAGGGAUGAACCUGGAGCUAUUUGGAAGGAUGCCAGCCACAACACAAAACAUGUAUGGGAAAGGAGUGAAUUCAGAUCUCUCAAGUACUGAUCUGGUGACUUAACUAUAAAGCAGACUUCCUUUUCAUUAAUAUAGAGUGCUCUGAAUGUGCCUCAGGCUAUUUAAGGGAUCUGAGGGUAAGAUCAGUCUGUUUACCGUGCCAUGUAUUGCAGAAGCAAAAACAUCUAACUGGAAUAUUAAAAGAUCUAUGGUGAUUAGUAAACCUAAUUGAGAAAUCUGGAUGCUAUAUCCCAAAUAAUGAUGUAACAAUGGUAUCCUUAAUGAUCAAGAAUACUUUUAUAGGUGUCUUAUUGUAUGUGGGACGUCUUAAAAUUGACUGGACUGCAAAGUUUAUUGUUGAAGUCCUUUCUGUUUCAUAAAUCAACAAGUCAAAAGCUGUAUUAACAAUGAAAUUGAAUUUCUAUUAACUGGAUAAAGAGAGACUUCAAACGCCUCUAGUUGUAUAUAAGCAAGUGCUUUUAAAGAAGGGUGUUCUUGUAAAUCAAGUUGUGGAUCUUAAUAUGUUUUUCGAUUAGAAGGAGUAAAAGUAAAGCAUACAAUUAGUUUCCAAAUUUUAGUUGUAAGCUUAAGUUCUGUGAAUGAUACUGGACCUGGUGACUUCACUGUGCAUAUCUGCCUUUAAUGUCAAAUGCUCAACUUCAGAAACAAAAAUCUGCUCCUUGCAUGAUUUUUAUCACCAGUGGACUUCCACUGAUCCAUGUGUUCCCUGAUCUGCCUGCUGCGAUUGUACUGGGGCCUCCAGGGAAAUAUAUAACUUAUCUGUACAGUUCAGUUAUAAAAAGUUUGGAUUCUUGAAUGACAUUUGCUGAGGGCACUCAUUAGAAAAACUAUUGCUAUGCAGAGGUAGGGAUAUCCGUGAUAUCUAUGUACCCAUUUUUUUUUUCAUCCUUGGGGUUUUCCUAUGCAUUCUGUAUCUCAGACUUAAAAGCAAAAAGCCAUGAAAAAUUUCUCAGGAAGAUCUGUUCUUAAUUCUCAUG